CUGCUUGCUCAUGGCCGCCUGGAGUUCUGCUCCGGCGCGGUACGGCAACACUACCCUUGUCUAUACAUACCUUUUGUUAUUUCCCUCGGCGGGGUCACGCCCGUCGAUGGGGACACUAUAAACCCUUGUAUCUUAAGCAUCAAACUUCCGAAACAAAACAAAAUAAUCA
rnacentral:misc_RNA from 1 species